CCCCCCCCCGCAGCCGCCGGAGUUAACUGUUAACUGUGAGGCUGAGCAGCGGCCAGUAAUGCCCGUGCCCACUCCCCAUCUCCCUGCCAGCGCAGCAGCUUAAAUUCCACCCCACCCCUAAGCUUAGUGACCCGCGGUCUGUAAUGCCCUCCCCACCUCCACCGGAACGCUUUCUGCAAGGGAAUGACGGUCCGAGGCCCUAUCCUAACCAUGGCACACCCCUGGGCGUCUGGUAGGAGAGUCAACUCACCCUCCUCAUGAAGACCUCCAGGCGCUGAAGUUCCGGUGACUGACGCAGCACGGAGGAACCUGAGCAUGGAGAUAUGCAGAAAGACACAAAGGGAAGAAGAAUGAGCGGUAAUUAUGACACAGUUCUACACUUCCCUGUCUCCGACCGGCUCCGGGCAGGACCUGAGAUGACACAGGAUAAAUCCCUUUCUACAAGCAAUUUAUCAACACCCUCGUUACAGAACAAAUACUGGAUGUAAUGUUUACCCACUGGCUUCUGAAAAGUUCAUUGAUGAGAAGUUUGGACCUGGGGGGAUUUCUGUCACUGACA